rnacentral:tRNA from 1 species
CGGGGCAUAGCGCAGUCUGGUAGCGCAUCUGCUUUGGGAGCAGAGGGGCGGGGGGUCAAAUCCCUCUGCCCCGACCA